CCUACGGGAGGCAGCAGUGGGGGAUAUUGCACAAUGGGGGAAACCCUGAUGCAGCGACGCCGCGUGGGGGAAGACUCGCCUCUGCGCGGAAAGCCCUGUCAGCAGGGAAGAAAAUGACGGUACCUGAAGCCGAAGCCCCGGCUAACUACGUGCCAGCAGCCGCGGUAAUACGUCGGGGGCAAGCGUUAUCCGGAUUUACUGGGUGUAAAGGGGGCGUAGGUGGUUUCUUAAGUCAGAGGUGAAAGGCUACGGCUCAACCGUAGUAAGCCUUUGAAACUGGGGAACUUGAGUGCAGGAGAGGAGAGGGGAAUUCGUAGUGUAGCGGUGAAAUGCGUAGAUAUUAGGAGGAACACCAGUUGCGAAGGCGGCUCUCCGGACUGUAACUGACACUGAGGCACGAAAGCGUGGGGAGCAAACAGGAUUAGAUACCCUUGUAGUC
rnacentral:rRNA from 1 species